rnacentral:rRNA from 1 species
ACGCUGGCGGCGUGCUUAACACAUGCAAGUCGAACGAAGGCAUUUUAAGACGGAUUCUUUCGGGAUGAAGACUUUUUAUGACUGAGUGGCGGACGGGUGAGUAACGCGUGGGUAACCUGCCUCACACAGGGGGAUAGCAGUUGGAAACGGCUGAUAAUACCGCAUAAGCGCACAGUACCGCAUGGUACAGUGUGAAAAACUCCGGUGGUGUGAGAUGGACCCGCGUCUGAUUAGCUUGUUGGCAGGGUAACGGCCUACCAAGGCAACGAUCAGUAGCCGACCUGAGAGGGUGACCGGCCACAUUGGGACUGAGACACGGCCCAGACUCCUACGGGAGGCAGCAGUGGGGAAUAUUGCACAAUGGAGGAAACCCUGAUGCAGCGACGCCGCGUGGAGGAAGAAGGUCUUCGGAUUGUAAACUCCUGUUGUUGGGGAAGAUAAUGACGGUACCCAACAAGGAAGUGACGGCUAACUACGUG